GGCCUAGUCCUCAUAGAAAUACAGGCAUCACUAAAGACAUGAAGAAUGAACAUUUUAAUGAAACAAUGCGGAGGGUUAUUUAUGUGGGACUCCUGGAAGGACAGUCCUGAUUUCAGAGUUUUGCCCAGCUGUCCACAUUUAUUUCUCAACAUGAUCACAUCUUUAGACUAACUCACAUGCAGCGAGUGCUACGACCAUGUAGAGAGCACUUGAAAAGCUCUCUCUGAAUGUUGUGGACCAACUGCGAGGCUCUAUGGCAGCCUGGAAGACUUGAUACCAGGUUGACUCAUCCUUUACGGUUGUCACCGUUCCCACCCACCCACCAAACCAUUACGGUUUUAGGAGGUAUGAGUAUGUCAGGAACAGCAUGGCAAAAGUUGAUUUUGCUUUGUACAUAAGGUGGCAGGUUCUCAAAGCAGUUGCCUGUGGCAAAUUGGAAAAGCCUUAAAACAUGGUAGGCAACCAUCGGCACUCCAGAUGUUGUGGACUACAUCUCCCCUGAUGCUUUGCCAGCAUCAUGGCUGCAAGAGCAUUAUGGGAGAUGCAGUCCACAACAUCUAGGGUGCCGAAGGUAGCCUACCCCUGUACUAAAAUAAUAUAGCACACUCUUAGCUUGCCAAGAAUAACUGGAAUAGCCGACCCAGCUGUAGGUCCCCCCCUCCCACCUCCAUCCCAGUGACUGUAAUGCCGCUCUCAGGUUCCUAAUUACAAUGAGGAUUAAUUUUCAACUUCCUGACAGAUCUAUGAACUCACAGUAUAGCAGGACCCGCUGCUCUAUGUAGUGUGUAGUAUGAAAAAUUGAAAAAAAUACAGAGCAGAGUACUUUUAUAAAGGUCAAUUUGUUCGGGCACAU